rnacentral:lncRNA from 1 species
AUUUUAAAAGUGACCAGAAAUUCCUGAACAAAGUAGUCAGCAAGAGUAAACUGGUGCAAGAAAGUCAGACUGGAUAAAGAAGAGAUCUGGCCUAGAACUGGAAGAAAGAUGAUAUUUUAAGGCAAGAAGCCAGCCCAACCCAAGAUAGCAGAGAUCCUGGAUUAUUUUGAGACAGACUUAGAAGGAUCCAUUUCAUGAAAAAUGUCCUAGAAAUAUGACAGUCAGACUCUCGUGUUAAAGGCCAUGUAGUCCAACCAUCCACUUGUGCUGAAAUCGCUCACAACAUCCCCACCAAGUGGUCGCCCUUGCCUACAUUCUUCUAUUUUCCGUUCUCCAGUGUUCUUCUAUCUUUUGGAGCUCUACAGAAGGCCAUGAAGCACACCAUCAGAUGUUUGAAGGUGGCACGUGGGGUGAUGGUGCUAAUAUCGCUAUACAAGCCAUGCAGGGCCCUUUCUUCAUUUUGCCCGUCUUUAAAGGGUGGAAGUUCUGGAGAGAGUCACUACAUAGAUAAUGUGAGGAGGAUCUCUG